rnacentral:rRNA from 1 species
AUUGAACGCUGGCGGCAGGCUUAACACAUGCAAGUCGAGCGGAGAUGAGGUGCCUGCACCUUAUCUUAGCGGCGGACGGGUGAGUAAUGCUUAGGAAUCUGCCUAUUAGUGGGGGACAACAUUCCGAAAGGAAUGCUAAUACCGCAUACGUCCUACGGGAGAAAGCAGGGGAUCUUCGGACCUUGCGCUAAUAGAUGAGCCUAAGUCGGAUUAGCGAGUUGGUGGGGUAAAGGCCUACCAAGGCGACGAUCUGUAGCGGGUCUGAGAGGAGGAUCCGCCGCACUGGGACUGAGACACGGCCCCGACGCCUACGGGAGGCAACAGUGGGGAAUAUUGGACAAUGGGGGGAACCCUGAUCCAGCCAUGCCGGGUGUGUGAAGAAGGCCUUAUGGUUGUAAAGCACUUUAAGCGAGGAGGAGGCUACUGAGACUAAUACUCUUGGAUAGUGGACGUUACUCGCAGAAUAAGCACCGGCUAACUCUGUGCCAGCCGCCGCAGUAA